rnacentral:rRNA from 1 species
UUAAGCGACUAAGCGUACACGGUGGAUGCCCUGGCAGUCAGAGGCGAUGAAGGACGUGCUAAUCUGCGAUAAGCGUCGGUGAGGUGAUAUGAACCGUUAUAACCGGCGAUUUCCGAAUGGGGAAACCCAGUGUGUUUCGACACACUAUCAUUAACUGAAUCCAUAGGUUAAUGAGGCGAACCGGGGGAACUGAAACAUCUAAGUACCCCGAGGAAAAGAAAUCAACCGAGAUUCCCCCAGUAGCGGCGAGCGAACGGGGAGGAGCCCAGAGCCUGAAUCAGUGUGUGUGUUAGUGGAAGCGUCUGGAAAGGCGCGCGAUACAGGGUGACAGCCCCGUACACAAAAAUGCACAUAUUGUGAGCUCGAUGAGUAGGGCGGGACACGUGGUAUCCUGUCUGAAUAUGGGGGGACCAUCCUCCAAGGCUAAAUACUCCUGACUGACCGAUAGUGAACCAGUACCGUGAGGGAAAGGCGAAAAGAACCCCGGCGAGGGGAGUGAAAAAGAACCUGAAACCGUGUACGUACAAGCAGUGGGAGCCUCUUAAUGGGGUGACUGCGUACCUUUUGUAUAAUGGGUCAGCGACUUAUAUUCUGUAGCAAGGUUAACCGAAUAGGGGAGCCGAAGGGAAACCGAGUCUUAACUGGGCGUUAAGUUGCAGGGUAUAGACCCGAAACCCGGUGAUCUAGCCAUGGGCAGGUUGAAGGUUGGGUAACACUAACUGGAGGACCGAACCGACUAAUGUUGAAAAAUUAGCGGAUGACUUGUGGCUGGGGGUGAAAGGCCAAUCAAACCGGGAGAUAGCUGGUUCUCCCCGAAAGCUAUUUAGGUAGCGCCUCGUGAAUUCAUCUCCGGGGGUAGAGCACUGUUUCGGCAAGGGGGUCAUCCCGACUUACCAACCCGAUGCAAACUGCGAAUACCGGAGAAUGUUAUCACGGGAGACACACGGCGGGUGCUAACGUCCGUCGUGAAGAGGGAAACAACCCAGACCGCCAGCUAAGGUCCCAAAGUCAUGGUUAAGUGGGAAACGAUGUGGGAAGGCCCAGACAGCCAGGAUGUUGGCUUAGAAGCAGCCAUCAUUUAAAGAAAGCGUAAUAGCUCACUGGUCGAGUCGGCCUGCGCGGAAGAUGUAACGGGGCUAAACCAUGCACCGAAGCUGCGGCAGCGACACUAUGUGUUGUUGGGUAGGGGAGCGUUCUGUAAGCCUGUGAAGGUGGCCUGUGAGGGUUGCUGGAGGUAUCAGAAGUGCGAAUGCUGACAUAAGUAACGAUAAAGCGGGUGAAAAGCCCGCUCGCCGGAAGACCAAGGGUUCCUGUCCAACGUUAAUCGGGGCAGGGUGAGUCGACCCCUAAGGCGAGGCCGAAAGGCGUAGUCGAUGGGAAACAGGUUAAUAUUCCUGUACUUGGUGUUACUGCGAAGGGGGGACGGAGAAGGCUAUGUUGGCCGGGCGACGGUUGUCCCGGUUUAAGCGUGUAGGCUGGUUUUCCAGGCAAAUCCGGAAAACCAAGGCUGAGGCGUGAUGACGAGGCACUACGGUGCUGAAGCGACAAAUGCCCUGCUUCCAGGAAAAGCCUCUAAGCAUCAGGUAACAUCAAAUCGUACCCCAAACCGACACAGGUGGUCAGGUAGAGAAUACCAAGGCGCUUGAGAGAACUCGGGUGAAGGAACUAGGCAAAAUGGUGCCGUAACUUCGGGAGAAGGCACGCUGAUAUGUAGGUGAAGCGACUUGCUCGUGGAGCUGAAAUCAGUCGAAGAUACCAGCUGGCUGCAACUGUUUAUUAAAAACACAGCACUGUGCAAACACGAAAGUGGACGUAUACGGUGUGACGCCUGCCCGGUGCCGGAAGGUUAAUUGAUGGGGUUAGCGGCAACGCGAAGCUCUUGAUCGAAGCCCCGGUAAACGGCGGCCGUAACUAUAACGGUCCUAAGGUAGCGAAAUUCCUUGUCGGGUAAGUUCCGACCUGCACGAAUGGCGUAAUGAUGGCCAGGCUGUCUCCACCCGAGACUCAGUGAAAUUGAACUCGCUGUGAAGAUGCAGUGUACCCGCGGCAAGACGGAAAGACCCCGUGAACCUUUACUAUAGCUUGACACUGAACAUUGAGCCUUGAUGUGUAGGAUAGGUGGGAGGCUUUGAAGUGUGGACGCCAGUCUGCAUGGAGCCGACCUUGAAAUACCACCCUUUAAUGUUUGAUGUUCUAACGUUGACCCGUAAUCCGGGUUGCGGACAGUGUCUGGUGGGUAGUUUGACUGGGGCGGUCUCCUCCUAAAGAGUAACGGAGGAGCACGAAGGUUGGCUAAUCCUGGUCGGACAUCAGGAGGUUAGUGCAAUGGCAUAAGCCAGCUUGACUGCGAGCGUGACGGCGCGAGCAGGUGCGAAAGCAGGUCAUAGUGAUCCGGUGGUUCUGAAUGGAAGGGCCAUCGCUCAACGGAUAAAAGGUACUCCGGGGAUAACAGGCUGAUACCGCCCAAGAGUUCAUAUCGACGGCGGUGUUUGGCACCUCGAUGUCGGCUCAUCACAUCCUGGGGCUGAAGUAGGUCCCAAGGGUAUGGCUGUUCGCCAUUUAAAGUGGUACGCGAGCUGGGUUUAGAACGUCGUGAGACAGUUCGGUCCCUAUCUGCCGUGGGCGCUGGAGAACUGAGGGGGGCUGCUCCUAGUACGAGAGGACCGGAGUGGACGCAUCACUGGUGUUCGGGUUGUCAUGCCAAUGGCACUGCCCGGUAGCUAAAUGCGGAAGAGAUAAGUGCUGAAAGCAUCUAAGCACGAAACUUGCCCCGAGAUGAGUUCUCCCUGAGACUUAGAGUCUCCUGAAGGAACGUUGAAGACGACGACGUUGAUAGGCCGGGUGUGUAAGCGCAGCGAUGCGUUGAGCUAACCGGUACUAAUGAACCGUGAGGCUUAACCUU